rnacentral:rRNA from 1 species
AUGGCACUUUGUCGUGCCCACCGCCAUACCAUCCGGGGCAUCAUGCAUGGGUGGCUCAGGAUCAGGCCAUUCUCUCUACCAUCCAGUCCUCUUUUACGGAGUGGAUCUCGUCACUGGUCAUCUUCGCUGCUACGUCUCGGGACACGUGGACGGCUCUUCAUACCAGUUUUGCUUCGAGUCUUAGGCGCGGGCUCACGCCAUCUGCAUUGCGCUUGGGGAGGUGAAGCUUCAUGA